rnacentral:rRNA from 1 species
UACGUAGGGUGCGAGCGUUGCCCGGAUUAUUGGGCGUAAAGGGCGCGCAGGCGGCUACGCACGUCCGUUGUGAAAUCGCCCGGCUCAACUGGGCGGGGUCAGCGGAUACGGCGUAGCUGGAGCAAGCUAGGGGGCAAUGGAAUUCCCGGUGUAGAGGUGAAAUUCGUAGAUAUCGGGAGGAACACCAGUGGCGAAGGCGGCGACCCUGGGCCAAUAC